ensembl:lncRNA
UUGGAGUUGCUGUUGUGGUUGUUGGAGCCGCUGUUGUGGUUGUUGGAGUUGCCGUUGUGGUUGUUGGAGUUGCCGUUGUGGUUGUGGGACCUGCUGUUGUGGUGGUUGGAGCUGCUGUUGUGGUUGUUGGAGCCGCUGUUGUGGUGGUUGGAGUUGCUGUUGUGGUUGUUGGAGCCGCUGUUGUGGUUGUUGGAGGCGCUGUUGUGGUUGUUGGAGGCGCUGUUGUGGUUGUUGGACCUGCGGUUGUGGUUGUUGGACCUGCAGUUGUGGUUGUUGGAGCCGCUGUUGUGGUUGUUGGAGCUGCUGUUGUGGUUGUUGGAGCUGCUGUUGUGGUUGUUGGAGCUGCUGUUGUGGUUGUUGGAGGCGCUGUUGUGGUUGUUGGAGCUGCUGUUGUGGUUGUUGGAGCUGCUGUUGUGGUUGUUGGAGGCGCUGUUGUGGUUGUUGGAGCUGCUGUUGUGGUUGUUGGAGCUGCUGUUGUGGUUGUUGGAGCUGCUGUUGUGGUUGUUGGAGGCGCUGUUGUGGUUGUUGGAGGCGCUGUUGUGGUUGUUGGAGCUGCUGUUGUGGUUGUUGAGCUGCUGUUGUGGUUGUUGGAGCCGCUGUUGUGGUUGUUGGAGGCGCUGUUGUGGUUGUUGGAGGCGCGGUUGUGGUUGUUGGACCUGCGGUUGUGGUUGUUGGAGCUGCUGUUGUGGUUGUUGGAGCUGCUGUUGUGGUUGUUGGAGCUGCUGUUGUGGUUGUUGGACCUGCGGUUGUGGUUGUUGGACCUGCAGUUGUGGUUGUUGGAGCUGCUGUUGUGGUUGUUGGAGCCGCUGUUGUGGUUGUUGGAGCUGGGGUUGUGGUUGUUGGAGCCGCUGUUGUGGUCGUAGGACCUGCAGUUGUGGUUGUUGGACCUGCGGUUGUGGUUGUUGGAGCCGCUGUUGUGGUUGUUGGAGCCGAUGUUGUGGUUGUUGGAGGCGCUGUUGUGGUCGUUGGAGGCGCUGUUGUGGUCGUUGGAGGCGCUGUUGUGGUCGUUGGAGGCGCUGUUGUGGUCGUUGGAGCUGCUGUAGUGGUUGUUGGACCUGCUGUUGUGGGUGUUGGACCUGCUGUUGUGGUUGUUGGAGGCGCUGUUGUGGUUGUUGGAGCCGCUGUUGUGGUUGUUGGAGGCGCUGUUGUGGUUGUUGGAGGCGCUGUUGUGGUUGUUGGAGCUGCUGUUGUGGUUGUUGGAGCUGCUGUUGUGGUUGUUGGAGGCGCUGUUGUGGUUGUUGGAGCUGCUGUUGUGGUUGUUGGAGCCGCUGUUGUGGUUGUUGGAGGCGCUGUUGUGGUUGUUGGAGGCGCGGUUGUGGUUGUUGGACCUGCGGUUGUGGUUGUUGGACCUGCAGUUGUGGUUGUUGGAGCUGCUGUUGUGGUUGUUGGAGCUGCUGUUGUGGUUGUUGGACCUGCGGUUGGGGUUGUUGGACCUGCAGUUGUGGUUGUUGGAGCCGAUGUUGUGGUUGUUGGAGCCGAUGUUGUGGUUGUUGGAGCUGCUGUUGUAGUUGUUGGAGCUGCUGUUGUGGUAGUCAGAAUUGCUGUUGUGGUAGUCAGAAUGGCGGUUGUGGUUGUUGGAGGCGCUGUUGUGGUUGUUGGAGCCGCUGUUGUGGUUGUUGGACCUGGGGUUGUGGUUGUUGGAGCCGCUGUUGUGGUUGUUGGAGCCGCUGUUGUGGUUGUUACAGCCGCUGUUGUGGUUGUUGGAGCCGCUGUUGUCGUGGUUGGAGCCGCGGUUGUGGUAGUUGGAUCCAGGUUUGUGAUUGUUGGAGCCGCUGUUGUGGGUUGUUUGGAGCUGCUGUUGUGGAUGUUGGAGCUGUGUUGUGCUAGUUGGACACCACUGUUGUGGUUGUUGAAGCUGAUGUUGUGGUUGUUGGAGGCACUGUUGUGGUUGUUGAGCCUAUUGUUGAGGUUGUUGGACCUGCGGUUGUGGUGGUUGGACCUGCGGUUGUUGUAGUUGGACCCGGGGUUGUGGUUGUUGGAGCCACUGUUGUGGUUGUUGGACCUGGAGAUGUGGUUGUUGAGCCUACAACCAUGGUUGUGGUAGUUGCCACCGGAAGUGUGUUGUUUGAGCUGCUGAUGUAGUUGUUGCACCUGCUGGGUACUUGCUGGAAAAUAAUGAAAAUGUUAACAACUGCUUGAGAGAGAGUAGAGGAUUAGGCAUUUGCUGCCGCGGUUAGUUGAUAUUUGUCCACGUAAUCGACCAUGAAAAUUUGUCAACGGCAAUUUGUUUUUUAACGUUUUACCAUUGACCAUCUAUUUAAUUUGUCUCCCAUCACAAACGGCUCAAUGUUAUUCAACGGUCUCUAACCACCAGGGAAUCUGACGUCCAGAUUGAACCGCGACACGGAGGUGAAAGGGAUUGUUGCCGUUACAGAGCUCCAGCUGCCCUGCCUUGGCUGCGGAGCCCCAGCCGCAGAGCCCCGAGAGCCUUGGAGCUUCUCAAGGAACUCACAUUUGAUAAUGCAGAAUAAAUAACAUAAUCUUAUCAUCACUUUAAGAUAGGAUCAGGAUUCUAAUAUCAAGCAAUCAAACUGACGCGGGCCUUAAAAUGUGUAUUCCGAUGAGUACGACUUUGUGAAAGAAAUUAACAGCAAAAUGUGUACAACUAUUAACCCAUGUGGAAUCAUCAAAGUAUUGCUUUCAGCACUUAUUUAUUAGUCAAAUGUUAGUCAAAUGAGAUCCCUUGUGUGGUAGGUUCACCUAAUGGGGAAGUGGCUUGCACAACAAGGAACUAAUUAUAUUCAAAUCUCCUGUUUGUUACAAAUACGAGCUGUUCCAGUUAUUUAAGAAGUAUACUGGAAUAGGUAAGGUAUACCACCAGAUACAGUAACAACUCUAGCAUAUUUUUUUGUGAUUGAGUAUUUAGGUUCCAAGAUUAAAGGAUGCAUGGUACAAACCAGAUUAAUAGGAACUUCCUUUCUCCAACAUUAGCGGAAAACUAGCUAUGCAAAGUGUUUGAUACUGAAGAAGAAAGAAAUUAAGAGAAAAAUGUUAACUAGAACCAAAUUGGAAUAACUAUUUGCUUUUAAGGUGAAAGGAUGUUCCUUAGCAUGUUUUAUGAUGCCAGAAACGAAGGUUGCUAAAGAACAGAGGUAUGAUAAAAGAAAAAACAAUGACAGGAAUUGCAUGAUGCCAAAUAAUGCAUUGAUUUAUACUAUUGUUUAUUAGCUUAACAAUAAAAGUCUCCAACUUACCCUUAAGAUAAAAUCAAAACAUACAAAUGAAUACGUGUGGCAAAGGAAAAACAUAUUUGAAUUGAAAUCUAAGAAAAUAAGUAACAAUCCGAUCCAUGUACUUACACUGCAUAUUGGAUACGUGGAAACAUCCAACCAAAAGUACCACAAAAAUGGCUUUGCUAGCCAUGUUGGUUUACAGAUGACAACCUAUUCGACCACACUGUUUCAUGCCUUCGGUCCUUGUGAAGACCUUCACUUAAACAAAGAGGUCAAGUGUGGCGCACAGCUACUCUCAUAGAACCUGAAAAACAAGAUUGGGUUCAAUACCUUUCUGUUGAAAAAUAGUGCACUGGCAUGAUGCAUGCCAGGAGUUCCUCCUACUUCUCAACAGGCUUACUGGCAG